GACGAACGCUGGCGGCGUGCUUAACACAUGCAAGUCGAACGGUAAGGCCUUCGGGUACACGAGUGGCGAACGGGUGAGUAACACGUGGGUGAUCUGCCCUGCACUUUGGGAUAAGCCUGGGAAACUGGGUCUAAUACCGAAUAUACCUUUCCUGCUGCAUGGUGGGUGGGGGAAAGCUUUUGCGGUGUGGGAUGGGCCCGCGGCCUAUCAGCUUGUUGGUGAGGUUACGGCUCACCAAGGCGACGACGGGUAGCCGGCCUGAGAGGGUGUCCGGCCACACUGGGACUGAGAUACGGCCCAGACUCCUACGGGAGGCAGCAGUGGGGAAUAUUGCACAAUGGGCGCAAGCCUGAUGCAGCGACGCCGCGUGAGGGAUGACGGCCUUCGGGUUGUAAACCUCUUUCAGUACAGACGAAGCGUGAGUGACGGUAUGUACAGAAGAAGCACCGGCCAACUACGUGCCAGCCGCCGCCGUAACAC
rnacentral:rRNA from 1 species